rnacentral:tRNA from 1 species
GCGAAAGUGGUGGAAUUGGCAGACACGCCAGAUUUAGGAUCUGGUGGCCGAGAGGCCGUAGGGGUUCGAGUCCCCUCUUUCGCACCA